UAAAAGUCUGACCUGCCCACUGAAUUUUAAAUGGCCGCAGUAUCCUAACUGUGCAAAGGUAGCAUAAUCAUUAGUCUUUUAAUUGAAGGCUGGAAUGAAUGGUUGGACGAAAUAUUAACUGUUUCAUAUAAAUUUAAACUAGAAUUUUAUUUUUUAGUGAAAAAGCUAAAAUUUUUUUAAAAGACGAGAAGACCCUAUAAAUCUUUAUAUUUUUUUAAUUUUAAUUAUAAAGAAAAUUUUUAUUACAAUUAAUUAAAAUAUUUUAUUGGGGUGAUAUUAAAAUUUGAAAAACUUUUAAUUUUUAAGUUACAUUAAUUUUUGAAUUAUUGAUCCAUUAUUAAUGAUUAGAAAUUUAAGUUACUUUAGGGAUAACAGCGUAAUUUUUUUGGAGAGUUCAUAUCGAUAAAAAAGAUUGCGACCUCGAUGUUGGAUUAAGAUAUAAUUUUGGGUGUAGCCGUUCAAAUUUAAAGUCUGUUCGACUUUUAAAAUCUUACAUGAUCUGAGUUCAAACCGGUGUAAGCCAGGUUGGUUUCUAUCUUUAAAAAUUUUUAAUAUUUUAGUACGAAAGGACCAAAUAUUAAAAUAAUUAUAUUUUUAAAAUGAAUAUUAUUAAUAU
rnacentral:rRNA from 1 species